AUGGGAUAGCGCCUUUAUUGUGGGACAAACUAAUUGCUUAAUGAAUAGCCAAUAACAUUUCCUCAUACUCUGGUUUCUCUUUGGAUCUUAUAAACCCUUUGUCUUUUACCAAAAAAAAAAAAAAAAAAAAAUCAAAACCAAAACCAAAAAACAAAAACAUUUCCUUAUGUAAAGGGACAUGACUUUUAAAAAAUAUGAAUAUUUCCACUUUUCUUGUGGUUCUCCCUCCUGUCCUUCUGUCUUUUCAACCAGUUGUCAAUCCUUGCCUCAGAAGAGUUUAUGAUUCUACAGAACAGCAAAGAAAAGCUUUUGGGUUUCAAAGGUAUUGACUUUUAUGUUGUAAAAAUCUCAGGUCCAAAGGGAAAGUUGAUGAUAUAAGAGUAAGGUUCCUGUUUGCAUCCUUUUCUCCCACUGCAGGGUUGGGGAAAAGAAGCCCUCUGCACACCAGAAUUACCCAGAGACAUGGAACACUUAGCACUGCAUCAUAUGUUGGCCUUACAGAGGUCCUCCGUAUUCCAAUGUGAGGAAGGAAGUGGUGGUACAUUUGCAGAAGGCACUAAAUUAAGCGACUCUAAUGAACCAGAUAGAAGGGACCACUGCAACAGGAUUUAGUUUCCUCCUCGAACCAUGAAAGAGACCAGGAGAGAAUAGGCCUUCCUCUUUGGCAGCCAACAUGGAAACAGGAUGAACAAGACCAGGAGGAGGUUUUCCUCUGUUUCACAGGAGCACGGACUAUUCUCUCAUGUUGAAUGUGGCACUUUUUACAUACAAGCAGGAGAGCAACUACACCAAGAUUUUGGAAAACAUGUUAUGUAAGGCCAUAUCUUAUUUCAUCUUUCCACAACAUCUGAUACAGUUGAUUCCUCUACUUCACCUUCUUCACUUUGCUUGAAGGACACCACAGAAAUAGAACAUGGCCAGACUCAGAAGUGCCCCUGGGACCCUCUUCCAAUUACCAUCAUUUUCCUUCUCUCCAAGUGAGCCACUUUCUAGCUUUUUAUCAUCAUUACUUUCUUUCUCUUAUAGCUUUUCCAUUUCACCAUGGAUUCCUAAAAAUUAUACUUGAUUUUUGUCUGUUUUUUUUUGAGCUUUCUCUAAGGGAUUAUGCAAAAGACAUUAUUUUUGUGUCAGGCUUCUUUUAUUCCACAUCAUAUUUAUGAGCUAUAUCUGCAUUGAGAAGAACUAUAGGAGUAAUUUUCUUCACUUUAUACUAGUUCAUCAGAGGAAAAUAUCACAAUAUAUUUAUUCUACAGUUGAUAGACACGUGAAUUUGUCUGGGAUCCAGUUCCUGGACCAUUUCAGACUCGUGUUCUAGCCUGGCUUCCUAGCUGAGGUGUCUUAGGAAUGGUGGUACUGUUCCUAGCUGCUGCUACAGAUGGGAAGCCUUCUGUGCUAUGCUGCCUGGUGAGAAAGAUGCUGUAGCUAUGCCCCAGCCAGAUUGGUCCUGUAAGGCUUUGGCCUUUCCAGUUGUUGCUUGGAGAAAUUGCUGACUCACCUUGGAAAAAGGAGGAGUUAACAGCUCAUGGUGGAUUUUGACCAAUGGAAGAUGGAGAAGAGGAAGAAGCUGAGGAUAAAUUAUUUUCUUUUCCAAUCACCAAUAAACAGAUACAUGUGAAAUGAGGUACUUAGAUGGCCUCUUAGAAAACAUCCUGGGAGAUCAAGGCAUCAGUUGCAAUUGCUGUCAAAUAAAGGCCAGUUCUGUUCCACUUCCCCUGUGUUUUCUCCUCUUCUUUCCAUACCUAAUUUGGGAUUCCUUUUCGACUCACUCCUGUGUCUCUGGAGUCAUACUCCUCAAUAAAAUGGGAGCACGUACACUUUUGACUAAGGCUCUGUUUUCUAGAAAGCCCAGAAAAUCCCUCCCAGGACCAGCUACAUAGUUGGUUGGACCAAGUGCAAUAAAAAUACAGGGGCUUUUGCUCAACAAUUAUUAAGAAUGUUAAGA
rnacentral:lncRNA from 1 species